UUUUAACGGCCGCGGUAUUCUACCGUGCAAAGGUAGCGUAAUCACUUGUCUCCUAAAUAGAGACCAGUAUGAACGGCUAAAUGAGGACAAACCUGUCUCCUACGACCUAUCAGUGAAACUGAUCUACAAGUACAAAAGCUUGAAUAUAAACAUAAGACGAGAAGACCCUGUGGAGCUUAAAAUAAAACACUAAUAAAAACUUCAACUAAACUAGUACUAUUUUUAAGUUGGGGCGACUUCGGAACAAAACAAAACUUCCGAGCACAGAACCACCACUUCUAACUAAGGCCAACAAGCCGAAGCAUAAAAUGACCCAGUAUUACUGAUCAACGAACCAAGUUACCCCAGGGAUAACAGCGCUAUCUUCUUCAAGAGCCCAUAUCGACAAGAAGGUUUACGACCUCGAUGUUGGAUCAGGACACCCAAAUGGUGCAGCCGCUAUUAAAGGUUCGUUUGUUCAACGAUUAACAG
rnacentral:rRNA from 1 species